rnacentral:rRNA from 1 species
UAGGGAAUCUUCCACAAUGGACGCAAGUCUGACGGAGCAACGCCGCGUGAGUGAAGAAGGUUUUCGGAUCGUAAAGCUCUGUUGUUGGUGAAGAAGGAUAGAGGCAGUAACUGGUCUUUAUUUGACGGUAAUCAACCAGAAAGUCACGGCUAACUACGUGCCAGCAGCCGCGGUAAUACGUAGGUGGCAAGCGUUGUCCGGAUUUAUUGGGCGUAAAGCGAGCGCAGGCGGAAUGAUAAGUCUGAUGUGAAAGCCCACGGCUCAACCGUGGAACUGCAUCGGAAACUGUCAUUCUUGAGUGCAGAAGAGGAGAGUGGAAUUCCAUGUGUAGCGGUGGAAUGCGUAGAUAUAUGGAAGAACACCAGUGGCGAAGGCGGCUCUCUGGUCUGCAACUGACGCUGAGGCUCGAAAGCAUGGGUAGCGAACAGG